rnacentral:tRNA from 1 species
CCUGGUCGCUCAGAUGGUAAAGCUUCUGCCUGCAAUGCAGGAGACCCAGGUUCGAUCCCUGGGUCAGGA